rnacentral:tRNA from 1 species
UCCUGAUAGCUCAAUUGGUCAAGAAUCUGCCUGCAAUGCAGGAGACCCCGGUUCGAUUCCUGGGUCAGGAA